rnacentral:rRNA from 1 species
AGUGGAUGGGGAGCAACCUAGUUGUGCGUGUGUAAAGGUAGUGCCAAGAAAAGCGAUGAUCAUGUUGAAAAUCAAUUCCCGGUACCCGAAACCGACACAGGUGGGCAAGUAGAGAAUACUAAGGGGCGCGAGGUAACUCUCUCCAAGGAACUCGGCAAAAUGACCCCGUAACUUAGGGAGAAGGGGUGCCACCGAGAGGUGGUCGCAGUGAAGAGGCCCAGGCGACUGUUUAGCAAAAACAUAGGUCUCUGCAAACUCGAAAGAGGAGGUAUAGGGGCUGACGCCUGCCCAGUGCCGGAAGGUUAAAGAAGUUGGUCAGUUUUAGGAUGAAGCUAGCGACUGAAGCCCCGGUGAACGGCGGCCGUAACUAUAACGGUCCUAAGGUAGCGAAAUUCCUUGUCGGGUAAGUUCCGACCCGCACGAAAGGCGUAACGAUCUGGGCGCUGUCUCGGAGAGAGGCUCGGCGAAAUAGGAUUGUCUGUGAAGAUACGGACUACCUGCAUUUGGACAGAAAGACCCUAUGAAGCUUUACUAUAGCUUGGAAUUGUGUUCGGGCUUCCUGUGCGCAGGAUAGGUGGGAGGCGUAGAAGGUAUUCUUGUGGGGAUACUGGAGCCAACGGUGAGAUACCACUCUCAGGAGGCUAGAAUUCUAACUUAAUUAGGGACAGUUUCAGGUGGGUAGUUUGACUGGGGCGGUCGCCUCCAAAAAGGUAACGGAGGCGUACAAAGGUUCCCUCAGACUGGUUGGAAAUCAGUCGAAGAGUGCAAAGGCAGAAGGGAGCUUGACUGCGAGAAGUACAGUUCGAGCAGGGUGGAAACACGGUCUUAGUGAUCCGACGGUGCUGUGUGGAAGGGCCGUCGCUCAACGGAUAAAAGUUACUCUAGGAUAACAGGCUGAUCUCCCCCAAGAGUUCACAUCGACGGGGAGGUUUGGCACCUCGAUGUCGGCUCAUCGCAACCUGGGGCGGAAGUACGUCCCAAGGGUUGGGCUGUUCGCCCAUUAAAGCGGUACGUGAGCUGGGUUCAGAACGUCGUGAGACAGUUCGGUCCAUAUCCGAUGUAGACGUGAGAAUAUUGAGAGGAGCCUUCCUUAGUACGAGAGGACCGGGAAGGACGCACCGCUGGUGUACCUGUUAUGAUGCCAAUUGUAAACGCAGGGUAGCCAAGUGCGGAGAGGAUAACCGCUGAAAGCAUCUAAGUGGGAAGCCCACCUCAAGGUGAGUAUUCUGGUGUAAGGUCACGGGAAGACGACCCGUAAAUAGGCACGAGGUGGAAGUGCAGAGAUGUAUGAAGCCGAAGUGUACUAAUAGACCGUCGGCUUGACC